UGAAUCCCCUCCAAGGCUCCCGCUGAGAGGAGCUCCAGAGCUGGGAGAUGGACUGCCUGAGCCUCCCCGGCGUGAUACACGCCCCUAUUGGAAGAAGCUGGGACCUGGGGGGUGUAGAGGAAAUGGUUCCAGUCUCCAGGGCAUCUGACCCAUAUGUGUGUAUUUAAUCCAGGAAAAGCAGGUUUGUACACAUUUUUGCAAUCUGAUGAAAUUCUGCCUUCGAAAGGCCCUGAAUUCAAAAGCUAAAAUGCAGUACAAGAAAGAAGUGGUCUUGAGCUUCAUCAGGCUCCCCUGCUCGUGCAGGAGCCUCCCUUGGCUUCCCCCUCGCUCUUUUCUUGCUCCCAGCUCCUCGGCUCCUCUAGUCACAGUCCCAGCCACACUACAAAGCUGGCGAUGGAGGCACGGAGGGCGCGGGGACGGCCCUGAGCACUUUGCAUAUGCUGCCUGCAGGUGUUGAUCCUGGAAGCCUGGAGGAGAGCUCAGAGGACGUCUGAUGGUAGGAUGAGGGAUGAGACCAAAAGGAGGAGGUUAGACUGGACAACAUUUGGGGUGUCCUGAGCCUAUGACGCUAAGCCUACGUUUCACAAAGCGUGGUUUCUAGCCGCGAGGAGUCUGGGAUGCUCAUUAUUAUGGCAGGUUCCUGAGCCCUUCCUUGGCCCCAGCACAGCCCCACUGAGCCAGACCCACUGGACCGCCUUUUUAACAAGCUCCAGAAUCCUCCUUCCAACCACUGCAGGAGAACAGCAGUCUUCGAAGGUGGACCUUGUGCUCCUGGCUCCUGCAGUAGGUACAAGGUGGAAAGUUCUGAGUCAUCUGAGGUCAGUGUGGGAUUUGGCAGAUGCUUUUCUAGGCAUAAAAAAGGAGGACAGGGACCAGCCUGGACAUCAAUAUUCCACAGAUGAACCCCUCAUUUAAGAGCGUGUCAGCACCCGCUGCCUGCCUCUUCUUGGCCCAGCAUGCUGUUCUCACACCGUCAGAAUGACAUGACCUCCAGGUUUGAAUGGUUUUGCUGUUCCUAUUUCCUGCAGUCCUUUUACUCCAAACAGAUUUUUUUUGAAGAGGUAAUUUACAUAGGUUAUAUUGAAAAGUAUGGGGGUCAGAGAUGCUUUGCAACUUUCAAAUGCAAUUAUGAAAGGAUGUUGAUUCCAUCCAAAAAAGGAAAAACCUCUAAUCGACUAUUAAAUAUUUAUAGGUUAUCUUAUUAUUAAUUUAUUCCAGCAGGAACUCAGGAAAGCACCCAAAUUUUAUAGCUGAGCUAGUCAUUCAGUUCUAACCCUGGCCACACACAAUGAGUAUGAAUCAUAUCAGGAACAUGUGCAGUGAAAAAGUCAAACCUCAGUUAUAUAGUUCUCUUAAUCACCACUUGAGCUCGCCUCCAGCCUUGUACCCAAACACUUUCUCCCUGAUCAGUCCUUACUUCAAUGCGACCAUAGUCAGGGCAGCAGGCUCAGAGAAAA
rnacentral:lncRNA from 1 species